UAGAAACUUUUUCCUUCUCUCUCUAUCUGUUCUCUCUCUCACUCUCUCUCAAGUACAAGAAGAAACCCUAGAAUAGAAUCCUCAUUCCCACCCCAUUUCAAUUUUCAUCAAACCCUAAUUUCCCAUCUCUCAACGUCCUUGGGUUAAUUCAUCUUCAACAUUGUACCUAUUUGUUUUUUAGAUUUCUAUGCCCUAAUGCUUCGUAUUAUCUUCUUUUUUCGAUCCAAUUUUUUGCUGUGAAGACUGUUGCAGCCAUGACUGAACUUGUCUGAAAGAAUUUGAGAGUGAACAGAGCAUUGUUGUUUGUGGUGAAUACGGUUUUGUUCAUCAGUGGUUGCCAAUGCUAUUGGAUUUAUUUUGAUGCCGCCGAAACCAUUGCCUUAGGAUCAAAAGGACUUCUUCAAGAAGAGGAAGCACAAGGGCUUGGAAUCGGUUGGAUCUGUGGCGAGAUGGAGUGAUUCUUCUUAUCACCGAGACUUGGAUCAAUGGGGAUCCACCGAGUUUCGUCGACCGCCUGGUUAUUCAUUCGAAUUUGAUUUCUCACAACGGCAAGAUUGGAAAGAAUGUCUUGAAACACAUGGUUUCACAAUCAUGUCAUCCUUAACAAACCUAAAGACAUGUUUGUUGAUCUACAAAUCACUGGCUGGUCUGCACAUGAUUCUUCUAUUAGUUCUGUUCUUUUUGGACCAAAUGAGACUAUCAUUUUUAUCUUCAGCUCAGAUGGAAGGGCAAGUGCUAUAAAUUUGAUGUUAUUCCAGAUUUUUAAACUGCACUUGGUUGCAAUUAGUUCUUUGUUAACAAAUUUCAGAGUGGAACUAUGUUUAAGGCAGGAAGUUUGUUUUGCUAAUUAUGGUUAAUGUUCUACCUCCACAACUAAUGGGAACUAUUUUGCAAAGUACACGACUAAUGGAUUUUGAUGACACUUACCAUUAAAAUAUUUUGCAAACUUGAAACUUCCAAUCAAGCUUUGAUAAUUGUGCUGAAAGCUUAUCUGCCAACUAAUCACCAUACAACUGUUGACCGACGGUGUUAUCCAUAAACUGUUGUGGGAACUACAACAUAUCAGACUUAUUUUAAUAGCUGCAGUAGAAGUGAAAUGAUUUCCUUUUCCAGCUACAUUCAAAGUUUGUCAUGCUACGGUACCGUAGGUUUCAAGUAAAAACUUAUAUUUCUCUAUAACAAAUGAAUUGCCUGCAUCGAUAGUUACACAUUGGCAAAUUGGUCUCUAUCAUCCUUCAUGGCACUACCAACAUAGAGUUUCUGUCAUUACACCAAAAUAGACAUGGCAUGUCAUAAUUUAAUUUGAUUUUUUUUGUA